CCUACGGGAGGCAGCAGUGAGGAAUAUUGGUCAAUGGACGAGAGUCUGAACCAGCCAAGUAGCGUGAAGGAUGACUGCCCUAUGGGUUGUAAACUUCUUUUAUAUGGGAAUAAAAUGUUCCACGUGUGGGAUUUUGUAUGUACCAUAUGAAUAAGGAUCGGCUAACUCCGUGCCAGCAGCCGCGGUAAUACGGAGGAUCCGAGCGUUAUCCGGAUUUAUUGGGUUUAAAGGGAGCGUAGGUGGAUUGUUAAGUCAGUUGUGAAAGUUUGCGGCUCAACCGUAAAAUUGCAGUUGAAACUGGCAGUCUUGAGUACAGUAGAGGUGGGCGGAAUUCGUGGUGUAGCGGUGAAAUGCUUAGAUAUCACGAAGAACUCCGAUUGCGAAGGCAGUUCACUGGACUGCAACUGACACUGAGGCUCGAAAGUGUGGGUAUCAAACAGGAUUAGAUACCCGUGUUGUC
rnacentral:rRNA from 1 species